UUUGGCUAAAAACAAUAAUUAUUUCAUCGGUAGGGGGCAUUCUUGUAUUUCCAGAACAGGAAAGAAAUACAGCUCUGUUACUGUUCAGCUGUGCUGAAUAGCAUGCACAGCAGCAGCAUUCAGCACAGAAAGACUUGAGAAUAUGAAUAGCAACUGUUAACUGAAGGUUAGAAUUACUUAACUCUGCAUAUUCUGAAAAUCAGGUGACAUCUUAAAAGUGAAAAGUUUCUGAGAAGACUUGUUUUCAAAUGAGAAAGAGAUGAACAAUUACUUCAGUGCUUCAUGUAUGACAAUGCAGUUUGCUUGGAGGCAGAUUGAAGAUAUCCUGCAAGAGGAUCUUCCAUGCCCAGAGCUUCCCUGUGGAACCUGCAGCACCUUUGCCUUCUCUGAGGUUAACUGGUUAACCAUCACUCAACUUUUGUAACACAGCAGCACUGGGGCAUUUGUUAAUGGUGGUACAUGGUAAGCAGUGCCACUGUGUUGUUACACAACUGAAAGUUAGAUUGAAACAAACACUAGGGACUGACAGUUUCACUGUCACCGGCCCAAAUUUUUAGUAGCUAAAUGACUGAAAAGAGGUACGUGUUGGAUCUUCUUAUUACAAACAUUUGACUGAACCUGUAUGCAAUGCCAUCAUCACUUUUUCAUCCCCUGAGUAUAUUUAUUAGUGGAAAUUCAAUUAAGCUUGUCAUUUUCUUCCACAAUCAAAAUUUUAUUAGAACAAAAAAUUUAAUGUUUGCUAGAUACUGCCAGUUUGUAAUGGAAA
rnacentral:lncRNA from 1 species